GAUGAACGCUGGCGGCGUGCCUAAUACAUGCAAGUCGAGCGAACGGACGAGAAGCUUGCUUCUCUGAUGUUAGCGGCGGACGGGUGAGUAACACGUGGAUAACCUACCUAUAAGACUGGGAUAACUUCGGGAAACCGGAGCUAAUACCGGAUGAUAUCUUGAACCGCAUGGUUCAAAAGUGAAAGACGGUCUUGCUGUCACUUAUAGAUGGAUCCGCGCUGCAUUAGCUAGUUGGUAAGGUAACGGCUUACCAAGGCAACGAUGCAUAGCCGACCUGAGAGGGUGAUCGGCCACACUGGAACUGACACACGGUCCAGACUCCUACGGGAGGCAGCAGUAGCGAAUCUUCCGCAAUGGGCGAAAGCCUGACGGAGCAACGCCGCGUGAGUGAUGAAGGUCUGCGGAUCGUAAAACUCUGUUAUUAGGGAAGAACAUAUGUGUAAGUAACUGUGCACAUAUUGACGGUACCUAAUCAGAAGGCCAGGGCUAACUACGUG
rnacentral:rRNA from 1 species